rnacentral:ncRNA from 20 species
CUCUUAUUGGGCGAUGGGGCUCGCCGACCGUUAACCGCCGUUCUUUUCAAAGAAGGCUGAUAGCUCCUACCUCUAA